AGCGAACGCUGGCGGCAGGCGUAACACAUGCAAGUCGAGACGGGCGUAGCAAUACGUCAGCGGCAGACGGGUGAGUAACGCGUGGGAACGUACCUUUUGGUUCGGAACCAACCCAGGGAAACUUGGGCUAAAUACCGGAUAAGCCCUUACGGGGAAAGAUUUUAUCGCCGAAAGAUCGGCCCGCGUCUGAUUAGCUAGUUGGUGAGGUAACGGCUCACCAAGCCUUCGAUCUGUAGCUGGUCUGAGAGGACGACCAGCCACACUGGGACUGAGACACGGCCCAGACUCCUAC
rnacentral:rRNA from 1 species